rnacentral:lncRNA from 1 species
AUUGAACCCAAGGGUGCUUAACUUCUAAGCCACACCUCCAGCCCUUUUUAUUUUUAACUUUGAGAAAGAGUCUCACUAAGUUCCUUGGUAAGUUGCUGAGAAUAGCAAUUUAUGAUCCUCCUGUCUCAGCCUCUGGAGCCAUGGGAUUUUAGGUGUGCACCACUGCCCCCGGUUUAUAUAAGGAAUUUGUGAAUCUGUGGAUUUGGGUAUCUGUGGGGGUCCUGGAACCAAUCUCCCUUGGAUAUUGGGAGUCAACUUCACAGAGAUAAAAGCUCCUGUACUCUAUUCUCUUCCAGACCUCACCCAAAUUAUCUAGUCAUCUGGCUUAUUUGUGUCCCUUGAAAUAUCCCAUAGAGCUGGGCAUAGUGGUGCACACCUGUAAUCCCAGCAAUUUGGGAGUCUGAGGCAGGAGGAUUGCAAGUUUAAGACAGCUUGGGAAAUUUAGUGAAACUUAUCUCAAACAAUAAAAGGGUUGAGGAUAUAGCUCAGUGGUAGAGCAUUCCUGAGUUCAAUACCCAGUACUGAAAUAAAUAAAUAAAUAAGCAAACUAGUAAACUUGUUUCCCUGUGUUCUGGGAACUGUUUUAGCAAAUUAAUCUAAGGAAGAGAUCAUAGGAACCUUGAUUUAUAGCUGAUUAGUCCGAGGUUCUGGAGGGUGGGACUGGUGACUGGCUUCUGAAGUGGGGGACAAUCUUGAGCCUGUGGGAUCUGACACUUUAGUGUCAGAAUUGAUUUUAAUAUGGGGACCCAGCUAGUGUCCACUGCAGAAUCAGUGUCUGAUGCAGAAUCAAUUUCUUGCUUACUGGUGGGAAGAAAUCCCCACACAUUUGCAAUCUGUGUUGUGAGUGUAAAGUAGGAGAGUAUAGUUUGUUUUUCUCUACUAACUUGCCUUUUUGCUUCUCAUGCUGUAAUAACUUUUAGAUGGAGAGAAGUGACUGAGACCCU